UACAGGGGGUGCAAACGUUGCUCGGAAUCAUUGGGCGUAAAGCGCACGUAGGCGGUUCGUUAUGUCGGAUGUGAAAGCCCUUGGCUUAACCGAGGAAGUGCAUCCGAAACUGGCGAGCUAGAGUACUAAAGAGGAUCGCGGAAUUCCCGGUGUAGAGGUGAAAUUCGUAGAUAUCGGGAGGAACACCGGUGGCGAAGGCGGUUCUCUGGGCCUGUACUGACGCUGAGGAGCGAAAGCGUGGGGAGCGAACAGG
rnacentral:rRNA from 1 species